CGCUUGUUGAAUAAGUACGGUGUACGGCCACCUCGCCGUCGCGGCCACGGCCCCUCUCCUCGGCGAGCACGCCGCCGCCCGCGGCGGCGGGAUAUCCCCUGUAGAUGACCACACGGUGAUCGUCUCCGCCGGCCCGGGACGACUUCCACGGCGAGCCAGGUGAAGCGGAUCGCGUGUCAACAAAAGUGCACAUCUUGUGGAGCCAGAAAGUGCAUUUGGUGGAUAAAGCUUUUUUUGCCAGCUAGCCCCUGUAUCAGUUAUAGAUUGCUAAUAUUUGCAUGUGAAUGCACUGAUUUUCUUGAGGCAAAUGACGUAAUGAUGAAGCCUUGAUCCACAAUCUAGUGAUGUGGCAGAUAAUGUAGACGACAGGAGAAACUAUUGGAUGGUUUUUAUUUAUCACAGCGGGGAUAAUGACAGCUGGAAUUUUUUAGCGUCUCCUGGCAGCAGUCUCUCUCUGAGCAUUGAAGUAGACAGCAGCGACAGGAAGGCCAAGUUCGUUCUCCUCAGCAAACUGGCGUGUAUUGAAAUGAUCCCUAGAGGAUGGCACAACUACAGCCUGCCUACGCUUCUGCUUGAAGAGCACAAAAACGAACCUGUGGAUACCAAUGCUGGGCUUUGGGCUCUCAUAGCUUAUGAUUUCCCGUCCUGCAAUUCAAAUGCCAGAAAGAUGCAUAUUAAGAACAAAUACAUGCAAGCAUGGAAUGAUCUAAUGCAGGUUAGGGAGAGGACCUACCAAAAGAGGCAUCCGUUGUUCCAGGUUACUAUCAUCUUCGUACAUGGGUUGAAUGAAUCAAUAACUUCUCCGAUCACCCGCCCAACAACAAGAGGCUCCACAGACCUAGACAUGGUUGGAGCCUUGGAGGGACAGAUGCACUCUACACUGUCUGCGUGGAAGCCUAUCAACCCCCAAAUGUUUGUCGUUAGCAGCCUUGUUUGUCUGGACUAGCAGUGCACCUUUAGCUUGGUGUGCUGACUUGUCACUAGUGGUCAGGACAGGCGUGCAAGGUCAGCUGUGAGUUAUCAUUGUAUUUCUUAGACGAAUAUUUCUUCAGCUGUUUUGUAACAGACAGUGAUGUUUUCUGUUUGCUGUCAAAAUUGUUAUUGGGUAAAAAGGAGACACCCACUGAGCCAGAAGAUGCACAAUGGUAGGAAAUCAGAUAUUCAGAUCAUGACAGGGUGACUCUAGAGGAAGCCAUGCCCCAAAGAAUCUCUAUUAGAUCAAUGUGUCGCUGCUUGAUUGAAAGGUGAACAAACAGAUUUGCUGCUCAAAUUCAGAGCACUUGGCAGUUCGCACAAGUGAAAGAGGUUGUUGCUGGUUCAGGUAAUCAGGUCCCAGUUUUGGGCCGUAUAUGAGCCCCUGACAAGUUGUCGACAUCGAUGAGAGAUCUUUCCAUUUCAGUUCUUCAAGCACUCUACCCGCUUGGGAAACAUCAGUCUGGUUCAGUUUGCUGUCAAAACUACCCAUAUCAAAAUUUAGUAAUGCCAAACUUUGAUAUUAUUAAAUUUCAGUUUUGUAUGUAUUUGGUUUGUGCCCUCACCAAAUUUUCAAGUGUUUUUAUGAGAGGAAACUUCUGAAAAUUCUGAAGCUGGGUAGAGUGGCAUUAGUAUGAAUAUGUUUAGCCAGCAUUUGGUAAUAUCGAAAUUUAGAAUGGAUGAAAGCGGUAACAACUAACAAA